GACGAACGCUGGCGGCGUGCUUAACACAUGCAAGUCGAACGGAAAGGCUCCAGCUUGCUGGAGUACUCGAGUGGCGAACGGGUGAGUAACACGUGGGUAAUCUGCCCUGCACUCUGGGAUAAGCCUGGGAAACUGGGUCUAAUACUGGAUAUGACCUUUCUCCUUAUGGGGUUUGGUGGAAAGUUUUUCGGUGUAGGAUGAGCCCGCGGCCUAUCAGCUUGUUGGUGGGGUGAUGGCCUACCAAGGCGACGACGGGUAGCCGGCCUGAGAGGGUGAUCGGCCACAUUGGGACUGAGAUACGGCCCAGACUCCUACGGGAGGCAGCAGUGGGGAAUAUUGCACAAUGGGCGGAAGCCUGAUGCAGCGACGCCGCGUGAGGGAUGGCGGCCUUCGGGUUGUAAACCUCUUUCAGCAGGGACGAAGCGUAAGUGACGGUACCUGCAGAAGAAGCACCGGCUAACUAUGU
rnacentral:rRNA from 1 species